UUUUAUUUGAGAGUUUGAUCCUGGCUCAGGAUGAACGCUGGCGGCGUGCCUAACACAUGCAAGUCGAGCGAUUCUCUUCGGAGAAGAGCGGCGGACGGGUGAGUAACGCGUGGGUAACCUGCCCUGUACACACGGAUAACAUACCGAAAGGUAUGCUAAUACGAGAUGAUAUAUUUUUAUUGCAUGAUAAAAAUAUCAAAGCUUUUGCGGUACAGGAUGGACCCGCGUCUGAUUAGCUAGUUGGUAAGGUAACGGCUUACCAAGGCGACGAUCAGUAGCCGACCUGAGAGGGUGAUCGGCCACACUGGAACUGAGACACGGUCCAGACUCCUACGGGAGGCAGCAGUGGGGAAUAUUGCACAAUGGGCGAAAGCCUGAUGCAGCAACGCCGCGUGAGCGAUGAA
rnacentral:rRNA from 1 species